GCUGAGGAUGAUGUAGAGGAGGUAUGAAAAAUAGAAGGUUUCAAUUUUGUAGAAUAUUAGGCAAUUCAUAAUAAUAGUUGGCUUCGUUAUUGUACACUUUGAAUGGAGAGCAUAACUUGAAUGACCACCUGUGAACUCUGGGCUUUCAAGGGUUCUGGGAGCUGCCUCAAUUUCCUGGGAGCCUCAGUGAAGACGACAUUAGGGUAGACAGUGAAAAUCCUGUGGCUAUGAUGUGAGGAUGUGAACAAAGAAGGGGAACAAAUACUCAUCCCAACCUCAGAAGUCAUUCAUUCAACACAUAUUUACUGACUUCCUUCCAGAUUGGGCUAGAAAGGCAAGGAACUCAUUAUGGGUUAGGAAGAAACUAGAUGAUCCAACUCUUAUCAUAGUCAUGAAUUGUUUUUAAUGUGACACUGCACAGUGUUCCUCAAAAGUAGAAAUAAUUGUUCUCGAGUUUCAGAAUUGGUGAAGUAUGAGAGCAAUGGCACAGGCUAUGGAACAGAUGGUAGCAAUGGCCCAUCUCUGCCACAAUUAUGAAUUGCUUGGAGUGCCUGGAGAUGAGGGAUGGUCCAGCUUCCCUUAGCAGUAGGAGCCUUCAUUGGAAGAGCAGGGCCUGGAACUUACUUGAUAGGGAGUGGAUUCGACACGCUGUCAAUGAAAACUCUGGUUGACUGGUUGUCUGGUUGUCCAAAGCCUGGGUUCUGCAUGGGUUGUCUGAUGGAUAGCUCUUGUUUUUCCUGUACAGUAUUGCUUCUCCCUAUUUUGCUAACAGAACCCUUAUUUCCUCUAGGAAAGCCAUUUCAUGCAACUCAGGUGAGGCUAACCCUGCCAUAGGUUUAACCUUUCAAAAUACUCAUCUUCCUGGUUCCUGUGACCGGAUAUGAUUCCUGUGGACAGAAUCCUCAAUGGACUUUUCUAGCAGAGCUCUUUUUGGCUAGGGGAAAGAGCUUAUCCAUGAGGUAAAGAGAAAUAUGGAACCAUGAAGACAUUGUUGAAACACCUGGAUCCAGCCUUACCUGAAGAGGACAAGAAAUAGAGAUGGAAGCCUAUCAAGAGAUGGUAUCCAGGCCAAGCAGAUGGCUCUUGUCAACAGUGCAAUAUACAUAGAUGUGCACACUUGAAGCAAUGCAUUAACUUUAGACAAUGUUCCUGACUAACUGUGCUUUAAUAACUAUGUACCUUUGGAGACAUGAAGUCAAGCUCAUUGUUUAAAAACACUGACUUAUAUAUUCUCAUCAGCAUCUAGUUUUCCCUGUUCAAAUCUGAUUUGUCUAGAAACAGAGAUUGUGCAGUGAUACUGAUAUAUGUCAUUAUACGCGAUUUGCUUGUCAGACAUUUUUGCUUGAAAAACAUAAAUUUUUCAGACAGUUAAGAUCCAGAAUGGACUUGCUAAUAUUUUAUUCCCUGAUAAACAUUGAUAAUUUCACUAUCUACAAAUAGAGUCAUCAAGACAGAUGCCCUUGGGUGACUGAAAUCUCUCUGUAUGACGUGUUAUUUACUGGCUCAAGGGUCUUGAAAAUGAUUCUAUUUUUUAAGUCUCUCAUAGGUGAGCCAUCACCCAGAAGCUACAGGCUGAAUGGGGGAUCUCAUUCAUUCCUCUGAUAAUUCUCUUUGCAGGUGGCAAAAUGUGUGUGCCAAAGGCAGACUUUUUCCUAUAAAUCUUCACAAAAUAAUUUCAGAACCAAAAAUAAAAAGCACAUGUACAUUCUUUUUUAAAAUAAUCUUAUUAAAUCCUUUUCAAGUCCAUGUAUCUCUGAAAUCCUAUAGAAAUUGUGGAAGUAACAAAGGUAAGAGAAGGGUUUUAAUGUUGGUACUUGUAGAGCUAAUUCUGGCAAACUAAGCUUUCAGCAUAACUAGAACAUCUCUAGGUUAAUUGUAUACUCCUUGAGGGCUGUGACUAUAUUUGUAGUAUACUUUUCUUUGCUACGCCAAAACUAUUUCCCCACUUCUGGUACUAGUUUCCUUAUCUGAUCAGGUUAUUUAGUCACAAUAAACAAAAACAAAUUCUGCUACCUUAAGCAAAAAUGAUUUCAUUUGAAAGUUAGAGAGUAACUCCCAGAUGAAGGACUUGGCUUGAAAAAGCCAGAAAUCAGGGAAGCUCUGUGAGUCCAGUUCCAGCACCUGAGAACUAACCCUUCAGGCUGCCAUCAUUGAGGAAAAAUCAGCAUUUUUGGCCUUUUUCUAUUUUGCUCAGGAUUCAGAUUCCAAAGAUAAGUCAUACAAUUGCCUGUGCUUUGGCCUGUGUCCACUGUAUAAGGGAAAUCAGGACUGUGAUGAACAAUCCUUCCAUGUUGUAUCUGAUAAGUAAAUUGUUGUUACUCAAAGUUAAAAGGGGUACUGUUAAAAAAAAAAAAGACAGACAAGCAGAUGCUGGGGAGCAAAGAAAGGGAAGAAAAGUAAAUGAGACAAAUUCUAGGUAACCUGAGUGCCUCUCAAGAGGCUUGACAUGUUUCUGUGGCAUUCCCCAGAGGCCUAGGCACAAAGUCAGUGCAGAAUGCAGAUGUACCUGUUAUACUCGAUAUAUACUUUAUUGAUUGGUUCCUAUCACCACUCACUAGACUAUUACCUCCAUGUGUGUGGGGACUGUGUCUUUUAUGUAUUAUAAUAUCCUCAAUGUCUAGCAGAGUAUCUGGAACAGUGGGUCCUUAAUAAAUAUUUCUAAAAUAAAUA
rnacentral:lncRNA from 1 species